AAAAAAAGCCGGAAUAGCUCAGUUGGUAGAGCAGAGGACUGAAAAUCCUCGUGUCG
rnacentral:tRNA from 1 species